rnacentral:rRNA from 1 species
ACUUAAAUUGAAGAGUUUGAUCAUGGCUCAGAUUGAACGCUGGCGGCAGGCCUAACACAUGCAAGUCGAACGGUAACAGGAAGCAGCUUGCUGCUUUGCUGACGAGUGGCGGACGGGUGAGUAAUGUCUGGGAAACUGCCCGAUGGAGGGGGAUAACUACUGGAAACGGUAGCUAAUACCGCAUAAUGUCGCAAGACCAAAGAGGGGGACCUUCGGGCCUCUUGCCAUCGGAUGUGCCCAGAUGGGAUUAGCUUGUUGGUGAGGUAACGGCUCACCAAGGCGACGAUCCCUAGCUGGUCUGAGAGGAUGACCAGCCACACUGGAACUGAGACACGGUCCAGACUCCUACGGGAGGCAGCAGUGGGGAAUAUUGCACAAUGGGCGCAAGCCUGAUGCAGCCAUGCCGCGUGUAUGAAGAAGGCCUUCGGGUUGUAAAGUACUUUCAGCGGGGAGGAAGGGGUUAAGGUUAAUAACCUUAGCCAUUGACGUUACCCGCAGAAGAAGCACCGGCUAACUCCGUGCCAGCAGCCGCGGUAAUACGGAGGGUGCAAGCGUUAAUCGGAAUUACUGGGCGUAAAGCGCACGCAGGCGGUCUGUCAAGUCGGAUGUGAAAUCCCCGGGCUCAACCUGGGAACUGCAUUCGAAACUGGCAGGCUUGAGUCUCGUAGAGGGGGGUAGAAUUCCAGGUGUAGCGGUGAAAUGCGUAGAGAUCUGGAGGAAUACCGGUGGCGAAGGCGGCCCCCUGGACGAAGACUGACGCUCAGGUGCGAAAGCGUGGGGAGCAAACAGGAUUAGAUACCCUGGUAGUCCACGCCGUAAACGAUGUCUAUUUGGAGGUUGUUCCCUUGAGGAGUGGCUUCCGGAGCUAACGCGUUAAAUAGACCGCCUGGGGAGUACGGCCGCAAGGUUAAAACUCAAAUGAAUUGACGGGGGCCCGCACAAGCGGUGGAGCAUGUGGUUUAAUUCGAUGCAACGCGAAGAACCUUACCUGGUCUUGACAUCCACAGAACUUUCCAGAGAUGGAUUGGUGCCUUCGGGAACUGUGAGACAGGUGCUGCAUGGCUGUCGUCAGCUCGUGUUGUGAAAUGUUGGGUUAAGUCCCGCAACGAGCGCAACCCUUAUCCUUUGUUGCCAGCGGUCCGGCCGGGAACUCAAAGGAGACUGCCAGUGAUAAACUGGAGGAAGGUGGGGAUGACGUCAAGUCAUCAUGGCCCUUACGACCAGGGCUACACACGUGCUACAAUGGCAUAUACAAAGAGAAGCGACCUCGCGAGAGUAAGCGGACCUCAUAAAGUAUGUCGUAGUCCGGAUUGGAGUCUGCAACUCGACUCCAUGAAGUCGGAAUCGCUAGUAAUCGUGGAUCAGAAUGCCACGGUGAAUACGUUCCCGGGCCUUGUACACACCGCCCGUCACACCAUGGGAGUGGGUUGCAAAAGAAGUAGGUAGCUUAACCUUCGGGAGGGCGCUUACCACUUUGUGAUUCAUGACUGGGGUGAAGUCGUAACAAGGUAACCGUAGGGGAACCUGCGGUUGGAUCACCUCCUUACCUUAAAGAA